UAGCCAACGGCAGAUGAUUACCAGAGGGGAGAAAUUCGCAAGUUUCGUCGACCCGGUGCUUACCUCAAGUUGAACAAGGACAAUAGAGAACAACAGAGACGGACCUGAAGUUCCCGAAGGGGCUCUCUAACGAAGCGCAAAGUUCUGUCGUAACAGCACUAAAAUAAACAUCGUGUGAGGCCUUGAUCUUCACGAUAUUGAAGCAACUAAUUGAUACCAUCGGGCUGCGAGUUGCCUGGCAUAGUGCUACAUACUACAACAAACCUAGGCUGGCUAUCUCUUCCAAAAUGAAGAGGUAAGGAAUGGUACCUCGGCGAAACACAAGAACGCAGAGAAUGCUGGUACAAUAUGACGAGUAGCUAAAAUGAAUGAAAAGAAGCCAGUUUAAUCGUCCGAACCCACGCUUCAUCGGUCGACGACGGCGACAGCCAGAGUUCUUGCCGUUGCGCAUUUGGACGCGGAAGAGGAUAACGGGGAACUGUCGUUGACACGUGAGAGCUUCCUACCCGUUAGUCUUUGGAAAAAUAUAGCUAAGAAGUAAUCGACUGGCUAUUUACUAGAUACUGUU
rnacentral:lncRNA from 1 species